rnacentral:rRNA from 1 species
GCGUGGAGUAUGUGGUUUAAUUCGAUGCAACGCGAAGAACCUUACCUGGUCUUGACAUCCCGGAGACCCUUAGGAAACUAGGGGGUGCUUCCAUCUGGAAGAAUCUGGAGACAGGUGCUGCAUGGCUGUCGUCAGCUCGUGUCGUGAGAUGUUGGGUUAAGUCCCGCAACGAGCGCAACCCUUGUGUUUUAGUUGCAAACAGGUCAAGCUGUGCACUCUAGACAGACUGCCGUGGACAACACGGAGGAAGGUGGGGAUGACGUCAAAUCAUCAUGCCCCUUAUGAUCUGGGCUACACACGUGCUACAAUGGCCGGUACAACGGGCAGCGAAGGAGCGAUCCGGAGCGAAUCCUAAAAAGCCGGUCCCAGUUCGGAUUGCAGGCUGAAACUCGCCUACAUGAAGUUGGAGUUGCUAGUAAUCGUGGAUCAGCAUGCCACGGUGAAUACGUUCCCGGGCCUU